CCUACGGGUGGCAGCAGUGAGGAAUAUUGGUCAAUGGGCGGGAGCCUGAACCAGCCAAGUCGCGUGAGGGAAGACGGUCCUACGUAUCGUAAACCUCUUUAGGCGGGGAGCAAUGCCGGGCACGCGUGCCCGGAGGGAGAGUACCCGCAGAAUAAGCAUCGGCUAACUCCGUGCCAGCAGCCGCGGUAAUACGGGGGAUGCGAGCGUUAUCCGGAUUUAUUGGGUUUAAAGGGUGCGGAGGCGGAUUUUUAAGCCAGCGGUAAAAUGUCCGGGCUCAACCCGGGCCGACCGUUGAACCUGGUGGUCUUGAGUGGGAGAGAAGUACGCGGAAUGCGUGGUGUAGCGGUGAAAUGCAUAGAUAUCGCGCAGAACUCCGAUUGCGAAGGCAGCAUACCGGCGCCAGACUGACGCUGAGGCACGAAAGCGUGGGGAUCGAACAGGAUUAGAUACCCGUGUAGUC
rnacentral:rRNA from 1 species